AUUGAACGCUGGCGGCAGGCUUAACACCUGCAAGUCGAACGAGUGGCGGACGGGUGAGUAAUGCCUGGGAAACUGCCUGAUGGAGGGGGAUAACUACGGGAAACGGUAGCUAAUACCGCAUACCAUCAGAUGUGCCCAGGUGGGAUUAGCUAGUUGGUGGGGUAACGGCUCACCAAGCCGACGAUCCCUAGCUGGUCUGAGAGGAUGACCAGCAACACUGGAACUGAGACACGGUCCAGACGCCUACGGGAGGCAGCAGUGGGGAAUAUUGCGCAAUGGGCGCAAGCCUGAUGCAGCCAUGCCGCGUGAAUGAAGAAGGCCUUCGGGUUGUAAAGUACUUUCAGCGGGGAGGCGUUAACUGCAGAAGAAGCACCGGCUAACUCCGUGCCAGCAGCCGCGGUAAUUC
rnacentral:rRNA from 1 species